rnacentral:misc_RNA from 1 species
GAUGAAGAACGCAGCGAAAUGCGAUAAGUAAUGUGAAUUGCAGAAUUCAGUGAAUCAUCGAAUCUUUGAACGCACCUUGCGCCCUUUGGCUAUUCUGAAGGGCAUGCCUGUUUGAGUAUCAUGAACACCUCAACUCUCAUGGUUUGCCAUGAUGAGCUUGGACUUUGGGGGUCUUGCUGGCCUACGGUCAGCUCCUCUCAAAUGAAUCAGCUUGCCAGUGUUUGGUAGAGUCGCAGGUGUGAUAACUAUCUACGCUUGUGGUUUUCUGCCAGAUAACCUUCAGUGAUGGAGGUUCGCUGGAGCUUAUAAAUGUCUCUCCCCAGUGAGGACAGCUUUUUGAACGUUUGAUCUCAAAUCAGGUAGGACUACCCGCUGAACUUAAGCAUAUCAAUAAGCGGAGGA